UCGCUGUGAUGGCGUUUGGCAGAAGCGCACUGUUCGUGCACUUUGCAAUGUUUGUUACAAUUGAAAGUGUCCGGUUCGAUCCCUGCGGUCGAGGGCCAGAAUGUUCGAGUAAUCAACAUUUCUCCCCUCAGCAAUGAGUAGCACUAUCACUGGAGGGAAGCAAUUCAGCACAGUAUGCUACCCGUGGUGGAGGCGAAGCGGAUGGCACAUUCGUUGGCUUUGGCAAAGGUUGUAGAGUGCCUAGUGAGGCGACUCCGAUUGUUUUU
rnacentral:SRP_RNA from 1 species